ACACAAGCUAUCUACUCCUUAAAAAAUAACUACUCCAAAGCGCAUCAGCCAAAGAAGGCUUCAUUAAGCCUGGUGCACAGAAUGUAGUUGUCUCUGCUACAUCAGGCAAAGAACAUAUGAAGAUGGAGUUUUGAACUCAGUUGGACAAAGCAACCUUGCUGGGUGACAUGAUUAUACAUUUGAAAGAGCUGAAAACAAAUGCAGCACAAGCUAGUGAAGGCCUAAUGAUACCAAAGAACAAUGAUAAAAUAAGAGUCGAAGAAGGAGGAUUUCUACAUUCAGUUCUUUAUCUAUAAGAGAUUUCUUAUAAGAACUUUUCUUUUUAAAUGUGUAAUUUAAAUCUCCAUAUGCAUAGCAUAUAUCUAAAUAUGAUGAGGGAGUGAGUGAGAUUAGCAAAUAGCAAUUUCACUUGUUAGAGAAGCUGUACAUUCUGAAAAUCAUGUGAAUCUGGUUGUACAUGUAUCAGAAGCAUAAUAGCAACUUUACUCA